rnacentral:rRNA from 1 species
GACGAACGCUGGCGGCGUGCCUAACACAUGCAAGUCGAGCGAUGAAACUUUCUUCGGGAAGUGAAUUAGCGGCGGACGGGUGAGUAUCACGUGGGCAACCUGCCUCAAAGAGGGGAAUAGCCUUCCGAAAGGAAGAUUAAUACCGCAUAAUAUUAGAAAUUCGCAUGAAUUUCUAAUCAAAGGAGUAAUCCGCUUUGAGAUGGGCCCGCGGCGCAUUAGCUAGUUGGUGGGGUAAUAGCCUACCAAGGCAACGAUGCGUAGCCGACCUGAGAGGGUGAACGGCCACAUUGGAACUGAGAUACGGUCCAGACUCCUACGGGAGGCAGCAGUGGGGAAUAUUGCGCAAUGGGGGAAACCCUGACGCAGCAACGCCGCGUGAGCGAUGAAGGUCUUCGGAUCGUAAAGCUCUGUCUUUUGGGACGAUAAUGACGGUACCAAAAGAGGAAGCCACGGCUAACUACGUGCCAGCAGCCGCGGUAAUACGUAGGUGGCGAGCGUUGUCCGGAAUUACUGGGCGUAAAGGGUGCGUAGGCGGAUAUUUAAGUCAGAUGUGAAAUACCCAGGCUUAACUUGGGAGUUGCAUUUGAAACUGGAUAUCUAGAGUGCAGGAGAGGAAAGCGGAAUUCCUAGUGUAGCGGUGAAAUGCGUAGAGAUUAGGAAGAACACCAGUGGCGAAGGCGGCUUUCUGGACUGUAACUGACGCUGAGGCACGAAAGCGUGGGUAGCAAACAGGAUUAGAUACCCUGGUAGUCCACGCUGUAAACGAUGAAUACUAGGUGUAGGAGGUAUCAUCCCUUCUGUGCCGCAGUUAACACAAUAAGUAUUCCGCCUGGGGAGUACGGUCGCAAGAUUAA